ACUUAUAUGCCUAUUCUCUAACUUCGUAACGACAAUAUCACCACUAUCUAGAGAUAUCAUUACAGAGAUUUAACGACAUGAUAACGAAAAAUGGUAUUCUGUAAUUUACUAUAAUGAUAGAUGUCGAUAAAAGUAUCGAUAAAGUAUCGAAUUUUAUCGUUAGCACAGGGAUACAAGACUCCUCGAUAAACAAUAGCGACAAUAUAACUAGACAUAUAGCGAUCAACUCCGGCUCCGGAUAGUGGUGGUACGGAAGUAAAAUCGCUGAAGAGUAUAGUAUUUAGAAUGAAAUAUAUUAUUUUUAUAAGAAAGAAUGCGGAAACUUGAAAGAAGAAUAGAGAGAAGAUUGUUGCGCGAUGCGCAAAAUCCAUUUGAACAACAAGAAUUUAUUGUACAGUUCAGACUAAACCAAGUUUUGAUCAUGCAAAUUGUUAAUAAUUUAAGACAAGAUUUAGAAAAACAACGUAUAACUGGUCUCUAGAAAUUCAAGUUUUGGUUGCAAUUGAUUUUUUUGCUCAUGGUUCUUAUCAAAGACCAGCUGGAAACCAAUGCGAAUUAGUAAGUCAGCCAACUACUAGCCGUUGCAUACGUAAAGUGCAUAAUAAAUACAUAAUUAAUAAAUAUACAUUUAUUAUGCCAAUGGAUAAAAUUUUCCAUGAUGCCACAUGAAAAGACUACUGCAAUAGAACAAAUUUGCACUAGCUGCACAGAUAUUUCCUCGAGCUGUUGGAGCUACUGAUUGUACGUACAUAAAUAUUCUUGCAUCACAUGUUCAUGAAGAAGCAUAUGUUAAUCACCAUCAUUCUUUGAAAGCAAUAGUUGAUUCAGAUAUGAAAAUAUUAAAUAUAAAUGCACGAUACCCAGAUAGAUGCAAGGAAUGAUGCAUAUAUCUGGAGUGCUUCUCCAAUUAAACGUGUCAUGGAACAUUGGUAUAACCAAGGGGAAAAUUUAUUUAAUUGGUAAGCAUU
rnacentral:lncRNA from 1 species